CGGGGCCCAUCCCGUAAGGCUAAAUACUCCCGAGAGACCGAUAGCGAACCAGUACCGUGAGGGAAAGGUGAAAAGCACUUCGAACAGAAGAGUGAAAUAGUUCCUGAAACCGUGCGCCUACAAGCGGUCGGAGCUCGUUAAUGAGUGACGGCGUGCCUUUUGCAUAAUGAACCUACGAGUUGCCUUUGCCGGCAAGGUUAAGUGUGACGACACACGUAUCCGAAGCGAAAGCGAGUCUGAACAGGGCGUAUAGUCGGCAGUGGCAGACGCGAAACCAAGUGAUCUACCCUUGGCCAGGUUGAAGGCUGGGUAACACCAGCUGGAGGACCGCACCAAUAAGCGUUGAAAAGCUUCUGGAUGAGCUGAGGGUAGGGGUGAAAGGCUAAUCAAACUUGGAGAUAGCUCGUACUCCCCGAAAUGCAUUUAGGUGCAGCCUUGCGGGUUACUGAUGUGAGGUAGAGCGACUGAUAAGAUGCGAGGGCUUCACCGCCUAUCAAGUCUUGACAAACUCCGAAUGCGCAUCAGUUCUACCGCAGGAGUGAGGGCAUGGGUGCUAAGGUCCGUGCCCGAGAGGAGAAGAAUCCGGACCACCUGCUAAGGUCCCGAAAUGACAGCUAAGUUAAACUAACGAAGUCUGACUGCUAAGACAGCUAGGAUGUUGGCUUGGAAGCAGCCAUUCAUUUAAAGAGUGCGUAACAGCUCACUAGUCGAGCGAUCUGGCGUGGAUAAUAAUCGGGCAUAAACGAUCUGCCGAAGCCGUGGAUGUCGCAAGACAUGGUAGGGGAGCAUUCCAUGCGGCGUCGAAGAUGAGGGAUGACCCUUGUUGGAGCGCAUGGAAAAGCAAAUGUAGGUAUGAGUAACGAUAAGGGGGGCGAGAAACCCCCCCGCCGAAAGACCAAGGUUUCCUGAUCAACGCUAAUCGGAUCAGGGUGAGUCGGGACCUAAGGCAAAGCCGAACGGCGCCGCCGAUGGAAGAAUGGGUUAAUAUUCCCAUACUGCCUCAUGGAGUGACGUGGAGACGGAGAAGUGACAGUCCUGCCGGCUGACGGAAUAGCCGGUUGAAGGGUGUAGAUAUUGAUUCCCGUAGGCAAAUCCGCGGGGAGAGUCGAACCUGAGAGUAUACGGAGCGCUUGCGCAACGUAAUAUGGACGUAACCAUGCUCCCGAGAAAAUCCGCUAAACUUAUCCAUGCGGCACCCGUACCGUAAACGGACACACGUGGUCGGGUUGAGAAUACUGAGGCGCUCGAGUGAUUCACGGUUAAGGAACUAGGCAAAUUGACCCUGUAACUUCGGGAUAAAGGGUCCUCGUCGUAAGGCGAGGCGCAGAGAAUAGGUCCAGGCAACUGUUUAACAAAAACACAUGGCUGUGCUAAAUGGAAACAUGAUGUAUACAGCCUGACACCUGCCCGGUGCCGGAAGGUUAAGAGGAGAUGUCAUCCGCGAGGAGAAGCGUUGAAUUGAAGCCCCGGUAAACGGCGGCCGUAACUAUAACGGUCCUAAGGUAGCGAAAUUCCUUGUCGGGU
rnacentral:rRNA from 2 species